CCUACGGGAGGCAGCAGUGAGGAAUAUUGGUCAAUGGACGCAAGUCUGAACCAGCCAUGCCGCGUGCAGGAAGACGGCUCUAUGAGUUGUAAACUGCUUUUGUACGAGGGUAAACGCAGAUACGCGUAUCUGUCUGAAAGUAUCGUACGAAUAAGGAUCGGCUAACUCCGUGCCAACAGCCGCGGUAAUACGGAGGAUUCAAGCGUUAUCCGGAUUUAUUGGGUUUAAAGGGUGCGUAGGCGGUCGGAGAAGUUAGAGGUGAAAUCCCGAGGCUCAACCUCGGGAGUGCCGCUGAUACUGUUGGGCUAGAGAGUGGGUGCGGUAGGCGGAAUGUAUGGUGUAGCGGUGAAAUGCUUAGAGAUCAUACAGAACACCGAUUGCGAAGGCAGCUUACCAAGCUACUUCUGACGCUGAGGCACGAAAGCGUGGGGAGCAAACAGGAUUAGAUACCCCAGUAGUC
rnacentral:rRNA from 1 species